GGAAAAUCACACGCUAGCAAACAAAUUUAAAAUUUGGACAUUAGUGAUCAAAAUGAUAAGCUCAGAGAGUUAACGGAAAAAAAUAAGCAAAAAGAUGAACAAAUCACAUCACUUAAAGAACAAAUUAAGGCACUGGCUCAAAAAGUAUCCAACUUACAAUUAGAAAACCCUGUUUUGAGCCUUAACAAUGAAGAGUUUUAAGUGAUUCAUUGGGUUUAACAAAUUGGAUUUUAUUAUUGACCAAUUAAGUUUGUUAAAAUUAGGCAAUAAUGAGAAA